rnacentral:lncRNA from 10 species
CCUCCUGCUCCCCUCUCCUCAUCUCAGGGAAAGUCUUCUCUGGUUUCACCAUUUGACAGAAGGACAGAUUGCCCAGGCCAGAUGAGCAGUCUCCCAGAUCCUGUCACACACAGAGGCUAUAGCUAAUUAGGACACUCCUACAGACAUCAGAUGCGUGAAAAAGUCAAGAAUCCAGGACCGAAGAGGGAGAUUCCAACAGAGAUCCUGCCAGUCUCUCCCAGGAAUAAGCAUAGCCGUUCUUCCAAUAACAGAUCACCAGCUCCACAAAGCCACCUCAGAAACCUGCGUUUUUAACAUGCACCCCAGAUGAUUCCAAUGUGGAGUUCCUCAGCCCAGACUUUGAGAACACCUGCUUCAAUCAUCUAUAUGGCCAGGGAUAGUAGCCUUGCUGUGUUCUUUGCAGUUUAACACAAGGCAAUAUCCUAUCCCAAAUGGUGGAAGUCAAGACACUGUGACUGACAGGUGAGACUGACAUUUGGGAUGUGGACUCUCCACCUCUCAGAUAGUACCUCAUGCAUGUGACCACAGGGGCUCCCAAGGUGCAAAUUCAUUUCCAUCUGCCAGCGUUUGAGCCAAGUGAGCUUUGUUUGCCAACAGCCUCUGCUACAAUCCUUCCCUGGGUUCAGGGGCAGGGAAGCUGUGACCACCAACAGAGGUACAGGUCAUGGAAAGGCAAGGAGCCAAUGUUCAGGAGCCUGGGAAGAAUACAUACAGCAGCUUGAUGGAGGAAGACAGCAAGGCGCCUCUUUCAGAAAUAAUUUAAGAGAAGGAAAGUAGAGGGAGCAACUGAGGGAGAUGGUCAAAGGGUUCUGAGCCCAGGAAACCUGUUCAGAGAGGUCUCUUUCGGGGACACUGGUGGGAGCCCAGGGCAGAGGAGUCAGUGUGGUUAGGAGAUGACAUGAUUUCCAAGUAGCUUGACAGGAGGGGCACCCAGUUCCUUUCCUCAGUGACUGUAUCAGUGACAGCAGAAACUGGUGUGCUGCAUAGUGUCAAUGUCACCAGAUUCAUGCCAGACAAGGAGGCAGGAAUCCCAGGUUUGAGUCCCACUCCAAUUAUAGAUGCCAGGGGUAGGGAGAGGGAAGGUCUCUGUGAACAGGUUGCAGCUCUGCCUUUGGAACCAGUGCUAGGACCUGCAGAAGAGCCGGAUACUACUUGGCAGUGAUGCGUCAUAGAAAGUCCAGACAAGAAAUGAGUGAAACCAGAAGACUUUACAAUGUCUCUCAUGCCUAUGUGUUUGUUUCUUUAUUUUUCUGGUUAAUCCAAAGAAGUUUGAGGAGAUUUGCCUGGUAGGGAGGAAGAUGAGAUAAUAGUAAUAAUUUUAACAUUGAUUGAGUGCUUUAUUGUAUACCUCAGAUUGUUCUAAGCCCCUUAUGUAUUGACUCAUUUCAUCCUUAUAUUCAUAGGAAGUUGGUACUUUUAUGACCCUAGAUUUACAGAUGAGGAAACUGAGGCACAGGGGUUGAGUAACUGGCCCAGGAUUCCUGUUUUAGAGUAGGCCAGGUUAUGCUGCAGUAAUAGACAUCAUCCAAACAUCAGUGACUUAAAAAGAGAGUUUUUUCUCACUCAUAUUAUAUGUCCUUUGUGGGUCGACAGGAGGGUUCUAGCACCCAGGCUGCAGGAGGAGCUAUCAUCUUAUGACUUUGACAUCACCAUCUCAACAUGGCCUUCCACCAUCUCAACAUGGCCUUUCACCAUCACCAAAACUGUGCAAGAGAAAGCCAUGGAGUAAAGGACCUGCAAUUAGAUGCUUAGACCCACAUAUGACCCCUGUCACUUCUGCCCUCAGUUCCUUAACCAGAACUAGUCACAUGGUCACAUGUAACUUCAAAGGAGUGGAAAUGUGUAAGCCUCUGCACACCUGGCAGUGAAAAGACACUCAUAUUGAGGAGCACUGGUAAUGCCUUUCACAAUCCUGCAGUUGGUAAAGAGUCAACCUCAAGCUACUGGGUUCCCAAACCUAUGCUCUGUAUCACCGUGCCUGCUGUCUUCCCAUGCCCCCCAGAAGGAAGGGGUGGACCCUCUACCCUGUGACAUGGCUAGUGAUUGGCAUGGCUUGGGGAGGGUAGAAGAAGUGGGAAUCGGGGCUUCUUCCUGAUGUUUGGCAUCUCUCCCGCGACUCUAGCUAGCUAAUUCCCCAGGUCCCAGGUGCUUUCUAUCCCUGCUUCUGGAAUCAGUCCAAGUCCAGUGUCCUCUUCUAUUCUGUGAUCUCAGAGGGGUUAGAGUACAGAAGCUUCCAGUGAGCCCUACCUCAGCCCAGCCCUGCCACUAGCUUAUGUAAAUAUUUUUCUGUUGAGUUUUGAGUGCUGGGAGAUAAAAUAGUGGAGACAGAAAAGCCAAAGGGAAAUCGGAAGUCCCUGGUCUUCGUGAGCAGAACACUAUCAGGAGUCUGGCUUGAUGUCUGAAGUGCCUACAACAGCCCUACCAAGGUGAUAUCAGGAAACCAAGGAAGGGCUGGUGGAAAUGAGCCUGGGGUGACAUCACCCUGAACUGCAGCAGGAGAGAUCAAAGCUAGAUGCUGAGGUCCUCCCGAUGCUAAAGGUGGUCAUUAUCUCUGUAUGCUUCCACCACUGGACGGUGAGCUCACUGAGGGAGAAAUGUCAAAUUCAUAUCUAUAUCCUCGGCACCCAGCACAGGC